AUACCUGGACGCUAGGACUGAACGCUGCGGCGUGCUUAACACAUGCAAGUCGACGAAAGGCCCUAAGCUUGCUUGGGUACUCGGAGUGGCGAACGGGUCGAGUAACGACGUGGGUGAGUCUGGCCCUGCACUUCGGGGAUAAGCCUGGGAAACUGGGUCUAAUACCGGAUAGGACGAUGGUUUGGAUGCCAUUGUGGAAAGUUUUUCGGUGUGGGAUGAGCUCGCGGCCUAUCAGCUUGUUGUGGGGGUAAUGGCCUACCAAGGCGUCGACGGGUAGCCGGCCUGAGAGGGUGUACGGCCACAUUGGGACUGAGAUACGGCCCAGACUCCUACGGGAGGCAGCAGUGGGGAAUAUUGCACAAUGGGCGCAAGCCUGAUGCAGCGACGCCGCGUGGGGGAUGACGGCCUUCGGGUUGUAAACUCCUUUUCGCCAGGGACGAAGCGUUAUGUGACGGUACCUGGAGAAGAAGCACCGGCUAACUACGUG
rnacentral:rRNA from 1 species